UACCAGGGAUCGAACUCACGACUGCCUGCUUGCAAGGCAGGCGCUUAUGCCGCUGAGCUAAAUCCCCAGCCCCACUGAGCUCUUUUUUAUUUUUCAUUUUACAACAGAGUUUAGUUUGCUAAAUUUAAUUUGCGAAAUUCAGUUUGCAUUGACUGGAACUCGUGACCCUCCUGUCUCAACUCUCAGAGUGGUGGGAUUACACACCUACAUCACCAUACACAGUUUGGUGAGCAUGUGACUGUCAACCUGCCUGCGGAUCAGCCUACGAGCCCACCCAGUCCAUUUCCCUCUUCCUUCUGUGCAAGACGUUUACCAGCUGCGGGCCUCGGAUGCCUCAGUGUAUGCACGGGUCCUAGCGGUGACUACUGUCCCAGACAGCUGUUAGACAGAAAUUAAUAGGCAGAGAUGUAUUAGCCCUCCAGAGAGUCAGUGCGGAGGAAGAGACGUCAAAAUUGAGACUGGAGGCAAAUCCAGAAAGGGCCAGGCCAGGCCCGCAGGCGUCCCUAGAGACUAACAGCAGUUAGAGACUGAACUGUGAUUACCACCACCUGGUCGAGGGGCCCCAGCUUAGCAUCAGAUAGAUGCUCAGUCUAACGUGCAGGCAUUCACCAAUGAUGAAGUUGUCCUGGGUGAAACACCUGGCAUCAGCUUCUGCGUGAGCAUCAACCAUCAUCCCAUCAACUCUCCUAAACCCCAAUAUGAUGCCCCCUUUCAGCAGGAAAUAGUAAGAGAGUGGAAAAACUUCACCCUUUUCCUAAUAAUACAAAGAAGAGAAUGAAAGGAUUUUGCCCUAGAUAGGAUAUUAUAGCAGUGAGACAUGGGACCAAGGGACAUUUACCUUGAGGUUCACUUUCCCUUCCCCUAUGCAACUUACCUGUGGUGCGAAAAGAGUCCCAGUCAGCUAAUCGUGCAUCAGUGAUGCCACCUUUAAACACCACCCCAGUCGGAAACUAUAUGUAUGCCCCCCACACCACGUUUCCUGCAGAGAAAGCCAGGCCCCUAGUGGUCAUGGGGUUUCUGUCCACAUUGUUAGAAUAAAGGCCAAUUUUACUUUA